CGCUGGGCCCUGCGAUUGAAGCCUUAUACAGGCAAAGCCCACUGGUGACCUUGGCUUGUCAAAUGUUCUCAUUUUCACCAGGAAGGAGCCGGUGUUCAGCGGCUGCUCAGAGCUGCCAUGUGAUGAACUGGCAACCUGUCUAGGGUGUACCCCACCCCUCACCCAAUGUCAGCUGGGAUUGGCUCCAGCCCCCCUGCGAACCGGCAAAGGACACUUCCCCUUGGAGAGCGAUGUCUGGAAGGCACGUUGGGUGGAGCUUGAUGCUUCAAGAACAGGACCU